CCUUGCUAUUUUACAAAAUCAUAUAACUUGUGUCAGUGGUUGGCUAUAUAUGGCAAGCGAAAAUCAAGAAAUAGCCAACUUUCUAUUUUACAAAACUAGAUAGCACAUCUAUUGGAGUCUACCUUUUGUUAUGCAAAUUUUAAAAUAGCCACCACAACAAGAAUAGACAAGCUGUUGGAGUUGCUCUAAGAGGCUAAAAUUACCCGUUAUUUGUGAAACUACAUGUAUGAGUGUGGUGCGAAUGGGUGGUGGUGGAUGGUGGUGUGGACAACAGCAAUGGCAUGACGCGGUCAAGGAUGUCUUUCACAGGAUGGUUGAAAUGGAUUCCUCUAUUUGGUGGGAGGUCAAUGGUGGCUUUGUUGUGAUGUAGCAUGGUUGGAAGGAUUUCUCUUCAUUUGGUGUGAGAGAUCAAUGGUGGCUCAGACAUAUGACAUGGCUUGUGAUGUCCACUACUCGUGGCGGUGGCGUAGUGUGAUCUUAAUAUAGUUGAUUGGUUAAUGUAAAAAGUUAGUUUUCCAUGAUGUGUUUAUAUGUUUGGAUGAGAUGAGCAAAACUUUAUUUCUAUAUAACCUCAUUUGGUUUUCAA